GAAUGGCUUGGAUCUCUCCAGUGAGAAUGUCAGCUGCAACUUUUGAAAGCUUCCGUUCUUCACCUUGUCUCAAUUUGCUGCUGCUUUUCAUAAGCUGAGAAAACACAGGAGAUGUUUUGGCCGUGUAAGAAGCCUUAAGCUCUUCAGAGGAAGAUGCUGAGGGGAGUGGUGAAGUGACAACUCCUGUCUCCUCUCCUUAAUCUUGUCAGCCUUGGGAUUUCAACAUGGGCUGCUGGAAUGGGAGCAUCAUCUUGAUUUAGAGUUCUUAUCCAGGUGGGUUGAAUGUGCCAGAGGCAGCAGCCUGUCUUCAGCAGGGAUUAUUUAAAGCAGUCAUAACAUGGCAGGCUUUUUAUUUUGAAGAGGCCCCAUGUUUGUCUUCCAGCUGAGAGGCUGCAGAGAUCAGGGAGGGUCAGGAAUGGAUGGAGGAGGAAAAAGGAGCGUGCUAUCCAGAGCCUUGCAUUUCCCUCGUCCACCAUCCAUGCAGAGCUGGGCUUCACCAGAGAUACCUCUCCUUGCUUUCUGUGUUUGCACAGCUGGGUUUGAAGCAUGCUCUUGUAGCACAUACAUUCAGAACAAAUAUAAUCCCUCUCCAUCCUCCCCCUGGUAUUCCUUGUGUGCAGGAUCAGCUUGCAGCCCGUGCCUCGAAUCCUGUGAGACGCUGGAGCCACCCUGAGAAACACUGCCUUGAAACACACCCUUCCCCAGGCCAGCCACCAGGACACUGGGAAUGGCGACUGGAAGGUACCUUCAGCCAGGCUGUGGAUCCUGAGAGAGGUUUCACUCUGUGGGGAGGAACAGCAAGGUGUGACAGGGCUGGCUUUGUGCAGCUCAUUACGCUCCCGUCUCCGAUUUCUAAACGGAGUCCUGGCGCUGAGACAGAGCAGCUGCGCAAUGAAACAUUUCUGAAUAUCCAGGAAUGAGGGUCCCUACAGAUGGCAUUGACAUGCACCUGGCUCACAUGAAAACCCUCGCAUCACCUGCAGGAAGGAGAAAAGGAAGGUAGGAAUGAGGCUCAGAAUUUCCUGAACCUAUGUGGCAGGUUUGAAGCUCCUGAAAAGGUUUUAAACACGGUAAUUUUGCUUCUUGAAUCCUCUUCCUGGGAUGCCCCACUCUGACUCUCAGUAGUGUUGUUUCUGUUGAAGUACCUGAUGGGCUGGUUGAUGUUGAGCUGGUAGCAUCAGGUCCUAAAGGAUUCCAAAAGCAGCUGUCUCAAAGUGUGAAGUUUCACUUGUAACUCGGAGAAGACCUCAAUGACCAAAUGUAUGCAAGGGAUUACAAGCCUCACUUGCCUCUUGCUGGUGAGAGAAGGCUUAUGUCAUCCCAGAUAUUUUUUGAGAGUAAAUAAAUGGCUUUGUUUUACAUUAUUUGAGAGAAGCCCAACAGGAAAUUUGCUCUGUUGACUUCAGUGACCUUGAAAACACGCGUAGCCAUUUAAUCUGGCUCAUUCGAGUUCUGUGUGGAUUUGUCAUGGGGAUGUAAACGCUGGUUGAAAUCUUACGAAGAUAAGUUUUUCUUGAGUGGGAAGGCCAAGAGACUGCAGUUUAUUGAGUAAACAUAGAGAAAUAGUCUUUAUUUCUGGCUCCAUGUUGGGAUUUCUAGCUCACUGCUCCUCCAGGCUGAAUGCCAGCGAAUCCUUGAAGGUAAGGCAGGGGGAAGUGAUCCUUUGACAAAACAAGUCUUGAGGGGUUGAGAUACCAUCAGCAUAUCCCUGUCUGCUUAAAUUAGCUGAUGCAGAACUAAUGGUGGGCAUAUGAGUCAGGGUAUAAAUACCAGUCCCUGCUGAAUGUUGAUCUCUGGAGCACAGGAAUUGUUUGUGGCGUGUUGACCUGCCCUGAACUCCUGGGCAGUCCCAGGAGUUAUUGAUAGUUGCAGCCCAAACGCAGUGAGCAGCACCUUUUGCUCUGUGCAAACACACUGUGAAGACCAAUUCUGAGUCCCAGAACCGCCCUCCAUCCAUCCUUGGUUUGCUCUGACUUCCCAGCAUGUCCAAGGCACAAGGAGUUGUUCUGGAGCGACCGGUCAUGGGCACCAGAUGUUGGCCCUACCAUGGCUGGCCAUCCCUGCUACCCAAACACCUGUCUGUGUUAAUCAGUGCUUCAUGCCCAAAUCCUGAAGGAUGAACCAAAAUGUCUUCAUGGACUGGGAAAGCCCCGAAAGUGUGUGUAAUGUCUGUUUUGCAAGACCAAUCAUCAUGUGUGGGCCUCUUGCUCAACAGUGAACUGCUUGGUGAAGGUCUUGCAGAGAGACUGGAAGUGCCUUUUGCCCUCUCCUUCAUCCAUCUGGCCAUUCAUAGCUUGCUGGGGGAUCCAGAGGAUGUAGAGGGACUGGCAGAAGUGGCAGCUGGCCUGGUGGCAAUCCUGCUGUCUCCUGGUUCCCUGUAAUAAUCCAUAAAUUACCCUCCCUCGCUUCUGGAGCCAGCGGUGGGCGUGUGCUGAUUACAGCGCUGUGCUUGACUCAUCACUGCAGCUUGGCUUCAAAACCAAAUGUAUCCUUUUCUUUUUCGUGUCAAGAACAUGAUUAAGUCCUCCUGUUUCUGUGCAAGAGCCUGGAGCAGCUGCCUCCGUUCUCCUCUAGCUGGACUGCGUUUCUCAGGAUACAGGAGUGAUGCCAAGGAAGCAAUGUCUCUCCUGGGAGAGGGUUGGAUGAAUCAUGUUAAGGGAGCUCCAGCAGAAAGUUUCACCCCCAAAGGGUGGGGAACAGCAGCUGAUCUAGACCAAAUGAUGACUUAACCUUGAAAAUUAAGAUGUCGUUCUUUCAAUUUUUGUCCUGCUGGAAAACUGAAAAUAUUUCCAUGACAAUAUUUCCAUGAAACCCAACUUUUUUUUUCAGCAGACAACUUUUCUUCUGCCCAAAGCCUGCCUGUUGGAAUACUCCCCACCAGCUCUACUGGUGGGCUGGGAAUUUUCCAGGACUAGCCUGAAGUUUCAAUCAAGGCGUUGUUUGGGGUUUUUUGGUUUGUUUUUUUGUUUGCUUUUAAGGCAGCCAAGCAAAACAGCUGCUGGCAAGAACUUUGGUACCUGAUUCAUCCUUAUAAAAUUCUCUGUAAAGUGAGAAGGCAUGUGCUGUUUAAACUGCAUUUCCACUGCUACUCCCAAGGAAGAGUUAAUAAAGGACUUAGAGGUGUUUGUUUCAUUUUGGGUGCCUAAUCGGUUCUCAUUUUGUUUCAGAUGAGCCAUGUUAAAUUUAUCCCAUGACCUUGUAAUUACAAUCUGUCUUUCAAUCCCUUAAAUAGCCACUCUUGUCUUUUCAAGCAUUAUUUUGGUUCACCUUCCUGGCGUCCAGUUUUAAGUAAAUAUUUUAAGCUCCGAGGAGCUUAAAGUUCUCUGCUUUCUGCUCUCCUGGCUUCCUUGAGGACAGCAAGGGCUUCACUGAUUUCCGCUGAUGGACUUCAGAUCAGUUCCACAUUUCUUUCUGGCCUUUCAUUCUGGUGGAGAGCAACUUUUUGGUUGUUUAGAGAGUGGAAAGGAGCCUCAGGGACUCUCCUUUUUCUCUUUGACAGUGGAAAGCAGGCAUUUUCUUUAUCUUUUGUGCCUUGGUGCAGCUGAAAGGUGCUGGAGCAGACCCUGGAAAGGGAAGGUCCUGCAGAAGGAGGAGAGGAUGGGCCCGUCCUUCCUGGAAAGGGUGGAGCAGGGUGGCCUCUGGCUCUUCAGGACGUCAUGGAACACCACCCAGCCGAUCCUGGGGAUGACUUCAGACUGGCUUGAGGAUGAAACACCACCAAGGAAUGACAUUUUAACUUGGGUUUUUAAAGUUCUAGGCAGAGUGUCUGCUCCGGGUCUGGUUGGUAACAAGUUCCUAACUUUGCCUUUCACUGCUUGGCCACGGGUUUCUUUGUGUGCUUUGAAAUGUGACUAUCCAUGAGGGAGUACUGGAGUUUUUCCCCACCUCCUUCUCCUUAGUGACCUCUCUUUCCUGCAUUUCUUGUGCUCCUUCAGGCUUUAUUGCACUGGUGAGUAAAGAUGGAGUUAAAAUAGUCACAGCUUUUCAUUGAAGACUUUGCUGCAUUAAAAAGAGCUGAUUAACUCCCUCUCCAUCAAGCUUUUGAUAUUAAAAUCAACAUAUCUCCCUCUUUUCCAACUGGUUUUAUUGGUGUGAGCUGCGCAGAAAGGACUGUGACUGCAAUGCACUUGGCCCCAUGAGCAGAGAAGGGGCAGGUCAUGGAUAAAGACUGGGCAGAGUCUUCUCCUCACUGGGACCUCUCCUGAGGCUGGAAAAUCUCCAGGGUUGGUUUUGCUCAUGUUUUU
rnacentral:lncRNA from 13 species